CCCUUAGAUGUCCUGGGCCGCACGCGCGCUACACUGAGUGUCUGAGAUACGAGUCUGCCUGGUCCGGCAAGGUCUAGGUAAUCGCUAAAAGACACAUCAUGCUUGGGAUAGAUUAUUGCAAAUAUUAAUCUUGAACGAGGAAUUCCUAGUAGACGUAGUUCAUCAGACUGCAUCGAUUACGUCCCUGCCCUUUGUACACACCGCCCGUCGCUCCUACCGAUUGGAUGAUCCGGUGAGCUAUUCGGACUUUCGCAUUGUCGAUUUUCGGCUUUACGAGGGAAAGUCUCGCGAACCUUAUCAUCUAGAGGAAGGAGAAGUCGUAACA
rnacentral:rRNA from 1 species